rnacentral:rRNA from 1 species
CACUCUAGCGAGGGCCUGCCCGGGUAAUAAACCGGGAGGAAGGUGGGGAUGACGUCAAAUCAUCAUGCCCCUUAUGACCUGGGCUACACACGUGCUACAAUGGUUGGUACAACGAGUUGCGAGUCGGUGACGGCGAGCUAAUCUCUUAAAGCCAAUCUCAGUUCGGAUUGUAGGCUGCAACUCGCCUACAUGAAGUCGGAAUCGCUAGUAAUCGCGGAUCAGCACGCCGCGGUGAAUACGUUCCCGGGCCUU